rnacentral:rRNA from 1 species
UACGAAGGGGGCUAGCGUUGUUCGGAUUUACUGGGCGUAAAGCGCACGUAGGCGGAUCGUUAAGUCAGGGGUGAAAUCCCGGAGCUCAACUCCGGAACUGCCUUUGAUACUGAGGAUCUUGAGUUCGGGAGAGGUGAGUGGAACUGCGAGUGUAGAGGUGAAAUUCGUAGAUAUUUCGCAAGAACACCAGUGGCGAAGGCGGCUCACUGGCCCGAUACUGACGCUGAGGCACGAAAGCGUGGGGAGCAAACAGGG